UCGUUAGCUCAGUUGGUAGAGCAGUUGACUUUUAAUCAAUUGGUCGCAGGUUCGAAUCCCGCACGA
rnacentral:tRNA from 1 species